rnacentral:rRNA from 1 species
UACGGAGGGUGCGAGCGUUGUCCGGAAUCAUUGGGCGUAAAGGGCGCGUAGGUGGCGGGACAAGCGUGCGGUGAAAGCCUGGGGCUCAACCCCGGGUCGGCCGUGCGAACUGUUUUGCUUGAGCACUGUAGAGGCAGGUGGAAUUCCGGGUGUAGCGGUGGAAUGCGUAGAGAUCCGGAAGAACACCGGUGGCGAAGGCGGCCUGCUGGGCAGUAGCUGACGCUGAUGCGCGACAGCGUGGGGAGCGAACAGG